UACAGAGGGUGCGAGCGUUGUUCGGAAUUAUUGGGCGUAAAGGGCGCGUAGGCGGUGCGGUAAGUCUGUAGUGAAAUCUCUGGGCUCAACUCAGAGUCUGCUAUAGAAACUGCCGUGCUUGAGUGUGGGAGAGGUGAGUGGAAUUCCCCGUGUAGCGGUGAAAUGCGUAGAUAUCGGGAGGAACACCUGUGGCGAAAGCGGCUCACUGGACCACAACUGACGCUGAGGCGCGAAAGCUAGGGGAGCAAACAGG
rnacentral:rRNA from 1 species